rnacentral:lncRNA from 1 species
CCAAAGAUUUUUUGAUAUAAGAACGAAAAGCGGAAAAUUUAACUUAUUUCGAUCUUGAACUACUUCUCCUGUACAAUGGUCACGCCAUACUUUCCUCUGAGCUACAAUCGAUGAUACAUCAGGGACGAAGCCAGCAAACGUCUGUAAGGGGGGCCAAAAAAAAUUUUCUUCGAUACAAUAAAAAUUUUCAUCAGCACUGUAAAAUAUUCAUUAUAAAAUAAAUACAAAAAUACUAGUAAAAAAAUUAUAGUAGAGCUUUGCGUUCUUUUAAAUCAGGAAAUCAAAUUUAUAAUAGUGUCAACAAAAAUAUUUAGCUAUUUCUCUUUAAAUAUAUUUAAGUAUAAAUGGUCAGAAAACUCAUCAUAAUAACUCUAAGUUAUAGUAAUCUUUAAUUAGCAAGUAACACACAUUAUAUGAAAUUGUAUUUUGACAAUAUCUCAAAAACUAAAUAUUAUUUUUAUUAUACUUACUCCUUUUCAAAAAAAAAUGUUUAUUAUAGUUAAAAAAAAUAUUAUACUUAUUUAGAAGACGACAAGUUAUAAUUUAAAUAAGUAAAAAUAUUAUCUGGAUGAUGAAUUUAAAUUGAAGAUGAGUAGAUCAAUAUUAAUAUUAAAUAAUAAAUUUAUAAUGCACGAGGACUAACUAUUCUAUGAAAAUGAAGAAGUGAAGUGAGGUAUAAGUUUUUUGGAUAAGACCUCCACCAAAGAUUCUUAUUUUUAAAGAAGAACCAUAUUGACAUUUAUAUUUAUCACAUAUCACAUUUUACGAUCUUUCCUUUUAAAUUUCCUUUUAAAUUAGUAUAAUUGUAUAUAUAUCCAUAUUUUUGUUUAUUUUUAUUUUUAAAUUUGGUCUAAUACAAUAAAUUAGAAAAAUCUAAGAAUUAAAACUUUAUUUUGAAGCGAACAAAUAUUUUUUGAGGGGGGCCAAAUUUUUAUAUUUAUAUAAAUAUAUAGAUAAAAUACAAUUUUUUUCAAAAUUAUAUAAUAAAAAUUACAAUAUUAUGGAAAUCCUAGGGGGCCAUGGCCCCUUCUGACCCCUGUGUAGCUUCGUCCUGUGAUACAUCAUACAUUGUUACAAACACUAUGCUGCCGGGGGUGCCAUGAGAUAAUUAGCGGCUCUUUUUGGCUGCGCCGCAGGUGCUCCGAGCACUGCAGCAGACCCUGAAAGAGCAACAGC